rnacentral:rRNA from 1 species
CCUACGGGUGGCAGCAGUGGGGAAUCUUCCGCAAUGGGCGAAAGCCUGACGGAGCAACGCCGCGUGAUCGAAUGAAGUCCUUCGGGUUGUAAAGCUCUGUUGCCAGGGACGAAUAAGCAAUGCACAUAGUCUUGUGUAUGACGGUACCUGUUUAGAAUGCUCCGGCUAACUACGUGCCAGCAGCCGCGGUAAUACGUAGGGAGCAAGCGUUGUCCGGAAUUACUGGGCGUAAAGGGCGCGUAGGUGGGCGCGUAAGUCAGGUGUGAAACCCCCGGGCUCAACCUGGAGACUGCACUUGAAACGGGGGGUCUUGAGGGGAGGAGAGGAAAGUGGAAUUCGUAGUGUAGCGGUGAAAUGCGUAGAUAUUAGGAGGAACACCAGUGGCGAAGGCGACAUGCUGGACUGAACCUGACGCUGAGGCGCGAAAGCGUGGGUAGCGAACGGGAUUAGAUACCCCUGUAGUC